rnacentral:rRNA from 1 species
GAUGAACGCUCGCGAUAGGCUUAACACAUGCAAGUCGAGGGGCAGCACAAGGUAGCUUGCUAUCUGGGUGGCGACCGGCGCACGGGUGCGUAACGCGUAUGCAACUUGCCCUAUACAGGAGGAUAACCCGUCGAAAGACGGACUAAUACUGCGUAUGCUCACAACUUGGCAUCAAGUGGUGAGGAAAGAAAUUCGGUAUAGGAUAGGCAUGCGUCCCAUUAGCUUGUUGGUGAGGUAACGGCUCACCAAGGCAACGAUGGGUAGGGGAACUGAGAGGUUUAUCCCCCACACUGGUACUGAGACACGGACCAGACUCCUACGGGAGGCAGCAGUGAGGAAUAUUGGUCAAUGGGCGCGAGCCUGAACCAGCCAAGUCGCGUGAAGGAGGACUGUCUUAUGGAUGGUAAACUUCUUUUAGACGGGAAUAACAAGAGUCACGUGUGACUCCCUGCAUGUACCGGAUGAAUAAGCAUCGGCUAACUCCGUG